rnacentral:rRNA from 1 species
ACUGUGUGUUGUUGGGUAGGGGAGCGUUCUGUAAGCCUGUGAAGGUGUGUCGUGAGGCAUGCUGGAGGUAUCAGAAGUGCGAAUGCUGACAUAAGUAACGAUAAAGCGGGUGAAAAGCCCGCUCGCCGGAAGACCAAGGGUUCCUGUCCAACGUUAAUCGGGGCAGGGUGAGUCGACCCCUAAGGCGAGGCCGAAAGGCGUAGUCGAUGGGAAACGGGUUAAUAUUCCCGUACUUGGUGUUACUGCGAAGGGGGGACGGAGAAGGCUAUGUUGGCCGGGCGACGGUUGUCCCGGUUUAAGCGUGUAGGUGUGUGUUCCAGGUAAAUCCGGUUCACUUUAACACUGAGGCGUGACGACGAGGCACUACGGUGCUGAAGCAACAAAUGCCCUGCUUCCAGGAAAAGCCUCUAAGCAUCAGGUAACAUCAAAUCGUACCCCAAACCGACA